rnacentral:tRNA from 1 species
GCCCAGAUGGUGGAAUUGGUAGACACGAGGGACUUAAAAUCCCUUGACCAUUACCGGUCGUACGGGUUCGAGUCCCGUUCCGGGCACCA